AUGGUUGCAGGUGUUAAUGGUUCCUCUCUAAAAACUAACGGAAAUCUUGAGGUUCUACGAGGCAUUCCUGUCGAGAGGUUGAUGAUGGAAACAGAUUCUCCAUAUUGUGACAUAAUAAAUACUCAUGCUGGAAGCCAGUAUGUAAAAUCUGUCUGGCCAUCCAAGAAGAAAGAAAAGUAUGAGCCAGAUUCAACAGUAAAAGGUCGCAAUGAGCCUUGUUUAGUCAGGCAAGUUCUUGAGGUAGUGGCUGGAAGCAAAGAAAUUUCUGACAUAGAAGGCCUGAGUAGAACUCUGUACCACAACACAUGCAGGCUCUUCUUUCCUCAGGAUCUUGACGCGUCUGCUAAUGCGUAGCUUGAGAGUGGUACUGCCGUCCAGGAUUGCUGAUGUCAGAGUGAUUUUUUUUAAAUGUUU